GCGAUCGUGGACAGAGUUGAUCCCAAAACAAGCUGUGAAGCAACCCAACAGUAUGCUUUCUAUGGUGUAUG